rnacentral:rRNA from 1 species
GCGGCAGGCUUAACACAUGCAAGUCGAGCGGUAGCACAGGGGAGCUUGCUCCCCGGGUGACGAGCGGCGGACGGGUGAGUAAUGUCUGGGAAACUGCCUGAUGGAGGGGGAUAACUACUGGAAACGGUAGCUAAUACCGCAUAACGUCGCAAGACCAAAGAGGGGGACCUUCGGGCCUCUUGCCAUCAGAUGUGCCCAGAUGGGAUUAGCUAGUAGGUGGGGUAAUGGCUCACCUAGGCGACGAUCCCUAGCUGGUCUGAGAGGAUGACCAGCCACACUGGAACUGAGACACGGUCCAGACUCCUACGGGAGGCAGCAGUGGGGAAUAUUGCACAAUGGGCGCAAGCCUGAUGCAGCCAUGCCGCGUGUGUGAAGAAGGCCUUCGGGUUGUAAAGCACUUUCAGCGAGGAGGAAGGUGGUGAGCUUAAUACGNUCAUCAAUUGACGUUACUCGCAGAAGAAGCACCGGCUAACUCCGUGCACACG